AUCAAAUCAUCAAAGUGAUUGAAACUGAAAGAUGAAAGCUUUGAGAGUUUGGUCUCAGUUUCUUAUCUUUUCAUUGGCCUUUUCUCCUCUUUGUUUUCUCAGUUUC
rnacentral:ribozyme from 1 species